rnacentral:rRNA from 1 species
AACAUCUAAGUACCCCGAGGAAAAGAAAUCAACCGAGAUUCCCCCAGUAGCGGCGAGCGAACGGGGAGCAGCCCAGAGCCUGAAUCAGUGUGUGUGUUAGUGGAAGCGUCUGGAAAGGCGCGCGAUACAGGGUGACAGCCCCGUACACAAAAAUGCACAUGCUGUGAGCUCGAUGAGUAGGGCGGGACACGUGGUAUCCUGUCUGAAUAUGGGGGGACCAUCCUCCAAGGCUAAAUACUCCUGACUGACCGAUAGUGAACCAGUACCGUGAGGGAAAGGCGAAAAGAACCCCGGCGAGGGGAGUGAAAAAGAACCUGAAACCGUGUACGUACAAGCAGUGGGAGCACGCUUAGGCGUGUGACUGCGUACCUUUUGUAUAAUGGGUCAGCGACUUAUAUUCUGUAGCAAGGUUAACCGAAUAGGGGAGCCGAAGGGAAACCGAGUCUUAACUGGGCGUUAAGUUGCAGGGUAUAGACCCGAAACCCGGUGAUCUAGCCAUGGGCAGGUUGAAGGUUGGGUAACACUAACUGGAGGACCGAACCGACUAAUGUUGAAAAAUUAGCGGAUGACUUGUGGCUGGGGGUGAAAGGCCAAUCAAACCGGGAGAUAGCUGGUUCUCCCCGAAAGCUAUUUAGGUAGCGCCUCGUGAAUUCAUCUCCGGGGGUAGAGCACUGUUUCGGCAAGGGGGUCAUCCCGACUUACCAACCCGAUGCAAACUGCGAAUACCGGAGAAUGUUAUCACGGGAGACACACGGCGGGUGCUAACGUCCGUCGUGAAGAGGGAAACAACCCAGACCGCCAGCUAAGGUCCCAAAGUCAUGGUUAAGUGGGAAACGAUGUGGGAAGGCCCAGACAGCCAGGAUGUUGGCUUAGAAGCAGCCAUCAUUUAAAGAAAGCGUAAUAGCUCACUGGUCGAGUCGGCCUGCGCGGAAGAUGUAACGGGGCUAAACCAUGCACCGAAGCUGCGGCAGCGACGCUGAUGCGUUGUUGGGUAGGGGAGCGUUCUGUAAGCCUGCGAAGGUGUGCUGUGAGGCAUGCUGGAGGUAUCAGAAGUGCGAAUGCUGACAUAAGUAACGAUAAAGCGGGUGAAAAGCCCGCUCGCCGGAAGACCAAGGGUUCCUGUCCAACGUUAAUCGGGGCAGGGUGAGUCGACCCCUAAGGCGAGGCCGAAAGGCGUAGUCGAUGGGAAACAGGUUAAUAUUCCUGUACUUGGUGUUACUGCGAAGGGGGGACGGAGAAGGCUAUGUUGGCCGGGCGACGGUUGUCCCGGUUUAAGCGUGUAGGCUGGUUUUCCAGGCAAAUCCGGAAAAUCAAGGCUGAGGCGUGAUGACGAGGCACUACGGUGCUGAAGCAACAAAUGCCCUGCUUCCAGGAAAAGCCUCUAAGCAUCAGGUAACAUCAAAUCGUACCCCAAACCGACACAGGUGGUCAGGUAGAGAAUACCAAGGCGCUUGAGAGAACUCGGGUGAAGGAACUAGGCAAAAUGGUGCCGUAACUUCGGGAGAAGGCACGCUGAUAUGUAGGUGAAGUCCCUCGCGGAUGGAGCUGAAAUCAGUCGAAGAUACCAGCUGGCUGCAACUGUUUAUUAAAAACACAGCACUGUGCAAACACGAAAGUGGACGUAUACGGUGUGACGCCUGCCCGGUGCCGGAAGGUUAAUUGAUGGGGUUAGCCGCAAGGCGAAGCUCUUGAUCGAAGCCCCGGUAAACGGCGGCCGUAACUAUAACGGUCCUAAGGUAGCGAAAUUCCUUGUCGGGUAAGUUCCGACCUGCACGAAUGGCGUAAUGAUGGCCAGGCUGUCUCCACCCGAGACUCAGUGAAAUUGAACUCGCUGUGAAGAUGCAGUGUACCCGCGGCAAGACGGAAAGACCCCGUGAACCUUUACUAUAGCUUGACACUGAACAUUGAGCCUUGAUGUGUAGGAUAGGUGGGAGGCUUAGAAGUGUGGACGCCAGUCUGCAUGGAGCCGACCUUGAAAUACCACCCUUUAAUGUUUGAUGUUCUAACGUUGACCCGUAAUCCGGGUUGCGGACAGUGUCUGGUGGGUAGUUUGACUGGGGCGGUCUCCUCCUAAAGAGUAACGGAGGAGCACGAAGGUUGGCUAAUCCUGGUCGGACAUCAGGAGGUUAGUGCAAUGGCAUAAGCCAGCUUGACUGCGAGCGUGACGGCGCGAGCAGGUGCGAAAGCAGGUCAUAGUGAUCCGGUGGUUCUGAAUGGAAGGGCCAUCGCUCAACGGAUAAAAGGUACUCCGGGGAUAACAGGCUGAUACCGCCCAAGAGUUCAUAUCGACGGCGGUGUUUGGCACCUCGAUGUCGGCUCAUCACAUCCUGGGGCUGAAGUAGGUCCCAAGGGUAUGGCUGUUCGCCAUUUAAAGUGGUACGCGAGCUGGGUUUAGAACGUCGUGAGACAGUUCGGUCCCUAUCUGCCGUGGGCGCUGGAGAACUGAGGGGGGCUGCUCCUAGUACGAGAGGACCGGAGUGGACGCAUCACUGGUGUUCGGGUUGUCAUGCCAAUGGCACUGCCCGGUAGCUAAAUGCGGAAGAGAUAAGUGCUGAAAGCAUCUAAGCACGAAACUUGCCCCGAGAUGAGUUCUCCCUGACCCUUUAAGGGUCCUGAAGGAACGUUGAAGACGACGACGUUGAUAGGCCGGGUGUGUAAGCGCAGCGAUGCGUUGAGCUAACCGGUACUAAUGAACCGUGAGGCUUAACCU